GGCAAGGCUGGUCUCCUAUCUUCUACUCCAACCGAGAGAGAAAAGUUGAGAGAAUUUUCUGGUUCAUCUCCAUAUCAGUUGAAGUCGAGGGAAAGAGAGUUAGAGAGGAAGGAAAGAGUGAGGAAGCUCUGUUUUCUUGGUGUGAUUCAACCUUGAGGAGCUGAGGGAGGAAAGAGCAUUCUGUCUCCAUUAUUCCAGCCAUGAACCGUGAAUGAAAAAGGGAGGUAGUUGCUAAGUUCUUAUUUAUUUUCCUACUAUCUUUGGUUAAUAAUGUCUUAGAAUGAAUUAGAACUGA
rnacentral:lncRNA from 1 species